GGCCUGGUGGUGUAGUGGUUAGCGCGUUUGCUUUACAUAUUGACCCCAUCCUUGUCUUUAGCAGAAGUUCCUCGUUCGAUUCGAGGUCAGGCCA